rnacentral:rRNA from 1 species
CAGCCGCCGCGGGAAUACGAAGGGUGCAAGCGUUACUCGGAAUCACUGGGCGUAAAGCGUGCGUAGGUGGUGGUUUAAGUCCGUUGUGAAAGCCCUGGGCUCAACCUGGGAAUUGCAGUGGAUACUGGGUCACUAGAGUGUGGUAGAGGAUAGUGGAAUUUCCGGUGUAGCAGUGAAAUGCGUAGAGAUCGGAAGGAACAUCUGUGGCGAAGGCGACUAUCUGGGCCAACACUGACACUGAGGCACGAAAGCGUGGGGAGCAAACAGGAUUAGAUACCCCUGUAGUCCCUGUCUCUUAUAC